rnacentral:rRNA from 1 species
CCUACGGGUGGCAGCAGUGGGGAAUAUUGGACAAUGGGCGCAAGCCUGACGCAGCAACGCCGCGUGAAGGAAGAAGGCUUUCGGUUUGUAAACUUCUUUUAUCAGGGACGAAGCAGAUGACGGUACCUGAUGAAUCAGCCACUGAUAACUACGUACCAGCAGCCGCGGUACUACGUGGGUGGCAAGCAUUAUCAGGAUUUACUGGGUGUAAGGGGCGUGUAGGCGGGGGUGCAAGUCAGAUGUGAAACCUAGGGGCUCAACCCAUAGGCUGCAUUUGAAACUGUCCGGCUUGGGUGUUGGAGAGGCAAGCGGAAUUCCGGGUGUAGCGGUGAAAUGCGGAGAUAGAAGGAGGAACACCAGUGGCGAAGGCGGAUUGCUGGACAGUAACUGACGUUGAGGCGCGAAAGCGUGGGGAGCAAACAGGAUUAGAUACCCUGGUAGUC